ACUGGACAGGCCUGCCUCAUGUCUCAUAAUGGCAGGCACAAGCACCAGUUGUAUUGGGGGAUUCUAGUGCACAGCCACCAAAUGCCCAGAAGUGUGCCUAGGCAUGGAGUUGGAAAACCUCCACUGCCCCAAGUUUUCUGCACAGGUUUCAGCCAACAACCUGCAUCAACAACCACACAUGUGAGGAAAGAUAUCUUCUGAAGAUCCCAGCCUCCAGCCAGCAAGCCUUUCCAAGUAUAACCCUAGAAUCCAAUGCAUAUCAACUUAUUAAAGCAUUAUAAUGAACAAGUGCUCCCAAGUGUUACUGCUUCCUGUUGUUUUCUCCUCCCAAGGACACAAAUCAAAAUUACUCAGAAUUUGAAGAGCCAGGAAAAUAUCAACUUGAGCGGGAAAAGGCAAUCAACAUAUGCCCUUUAUUGUGCAAAACUCGGGUAACGGGUGAACAAGAUUAACAGGGACCACUAGGAUCAAGAAAUGAGAGAUGCCUCCUUACAUACGUCUGAGAUGAAUCCACAAAGAUAUCAAUUUUGAACAGUACAUCUCCAUCUUCUGUGGAAAUAGAGCAUGACGAAAGCAUAGACUCUGAGUUUUUUACGGCCCAACAGGAUGCAAAAGACAGACAAUCAAACAAGCAUUGAAGAGAUAGGAACAGGAUUACCCGAAGAUAGCCAAGUUAGCUAGGGGUGGUAAGCAAGCAUGCAAGCAAAUAAAGAACUUUGGAGGAGCAAUUAGAUGCUUUAUGUGAUUUAUAAAUGCAAAUAUAAAACCUCUGUCCUCACUAACUGCUAGCCACAGAGUCAAUGACAAGGAUAUUAAAAGUUAUAAAGGCUUAUCAACAAAGUGAUGCUUGGAUGUGUGUCAUUAUAGUGUACUUCUGUAUUUUUCAAGUUGUUCAGCCAGAGCGUGGAGAUCUUCAGUACGAAAACUCAUUGUUCUUUGAAGACAGCUUAUUUUAUACUUGGAUUGCUCUGAGCAUUAAAAAUGUUUUUCGUUA